rnacentral:rRNA from 1 species
GACAGAGGGUGCAAACGUUGUUCGGAAUUACUGGGCGUAAAGCGAGUGUAGGCGGUUCGAUAAGUCGGAUGUGAAAGCCCCGGGCUCAACCCGGGAAGUGCACUCGAUACUGUCGAGCUAGAGUAUCGGAGAGGUUGGUGGAAUUCUCGGUGUAGAGGUGAAAUUCGUAGAUAUCGAGAGGAACACCGAUAGCGAAGGCAGCAUACUAGGGAGUAACUGACGCUGAGGCACGAAAGUGUGGGGAUCAAACAGG